rnacentral:sRNA from 1 species
GCCAGGCAGACUGACGCUUCACUGCGAUGCCACCUUGGUGGCAUCGCCCGCAAUGCCCCGAGGUUCGCUUCGGGGUUGCAAUGCCAUGUCCUCUUUCUGCCGGAUCGACGCGUUGAUCCGGCAGCUUUUGCAGUGGCGUGACCGGUCGAUUACAGUUGCCGUCACGCGUGACUUGUUAAAAUUCGGAUAAUCUCAACGAUUGGACAGCCGGUUCAGCGCCUGUCUGCAUUGUUCAUCCAGACUUCGCAUAUGACCCAGCAACGCACUCUCAAAAACACCAUUCGUGCCACCGGCGUCGGCCUGCAUAGCGGCGACAAGGUGU